rnacentral:rRNA from 1 species
UAACGAGCGCAACCCCUACUGCUAGUUGCCAGCGCGUCAAGGCGGGGACUCUAGCGGAACUGCCGGCGUAAGCCGUGAGGAAAGGUGGGGAUGACGUCAAAUCAGCACGGCCCUUACGUCCAGGGCUACACACGUGUUACAAUGGCCGGUACAGAGGGCAGCCACCCGCGAGGGGGCGCGAAUCCUCAAAGCCGGUCCCAGUUCGGAUCGGGGUCUGCAACCCGACUGCGUGAAGUCGGAAUCGCUAGUAAUCGUGGAUCAGAAUGUCACGGUGAAUACGUUCCCGGGUCUU